UAGAAAACGGCGUGUUUUGCGCCCAGUUAUGCGUUUAAACGAGAAGGAUCGAAUUACAUCUUAUCGGAGGGCGUUAACAGGAACGCCCCCCACGGGAACCGCCCCGCAUAAAAAGUGGCACAUGUAGCUCUACAUCUGCUGUGUUCCUUCUCUUCUGCUCUUGGCACCUCAGUUGCUGAAGCUGAACUAGAAACGGAAGAAUGGAAGUCUAGGACAAGAAUGACAACAAUGCAGCCAGAGGUCUUCAACACCUGCAUGUUUUUUAUGCAUUGCUCAUUUCCACAUAUUUUGUGCUAAAAAGGCAAGUGAUGACUUGGAGUAGAACAUUCUUCUAAUUACGUGGAAGAAAAAA